UGGCUCAGAUUGAACGCUGGCGGCAGGCUUAACACAUGCAAGUCGAGCGGGGGAAGGUAGCUUGCUACUGGACCUAGCGGCGGACGGGUGAGUAAUGCUUAGGAAUCUGCCUAUUAGUGGGGGACAACAUCUCGAAAGGGAUGCUAAUACCGCAUACGUCCUACGGGAGAAAGCAGGGGAUCUUCGGACCUUGCGCUAAUAGAUGAGCCUAAGUCGGAUUAGCUAGUUGGUGGGGUAAAGGCCUACCAAGGCGACGAUCUGUAGCGGGUCUGAGAGGAUGAUCCGCCACACUGGGACUGAGACACGGCCCAGACUCCUACGGGAGGCAGCAGUGGGGAAUAUUGGACAAUGGGGGGAACCCUGAUCCAGCCAUGCCGCGUGUGUGAAGAAGGCCUUAUGGUUGUAAAGCACUUUAAGCGAGGAGGAGGCUACUUUAGUUAAUACCUAGAGAUAGUGGACGUUACUCGCAGAAUAAGCACCGGCUAACUCUGUGCCAGCAGCCGCGGUAAUACAGAGGGUGCGAGCGUUAAUCGGAUUUACUGGGCGUAAAGCGUGCGUAGGCGGCUUAUUAAGUCGGAUGUGAAAUCCCCGAGCUUAACUUGGGAAUUGCAUUCGAUACUGGUGAGCUAGAGUAUGGGAGAGGAUGGUAGAAUUCCAGGUGUAGCGGUGAAAUGCGUAGAGAUCUGGAGGAAUACCGAUGGCGAAGGCAGCCAUCUGGCCUAAUACUGACGCUGAGGUACGAAAGCAUGGGGAGCAAACAGGAUUAGAUACCCUGGUAGUCCAUGCCGUAAACGAUGUCUACUAGCCGUUGGGGCCUUUGAGGCUUUAGUGGCGCAGCUAACGCG
rnacentral:rRNA from 1 species